UCUCUCUGCAAACUCUUCCCCUUGCCUUCAAGGUGAAAUUGAGACUCAUGAGUGUGGCCUCCAAGCCUGCGACCCGGUCGGUCAGGCGCGUUCCCUGCUGUGCCCCGUGGCGCCUCAUGCUCCUCCACACCUGGAGAGGGGGCAUGCUUUCUGCUCGUCUCUAGGGCCUUCCUCUCUCUCCUGCAUCCGCCUCCCAUCCUGACUUCAGUAAGAGCACUGGAGUUUUUCCUUUCUAUUAAUGUUUACAAAGGAACAGCGUGGGUCUGGCUUGAGUCUCUUCCCUGCGGUGUUGUCCCCCCCUGACUCCCUGACGUCUGCCCGCCAUUCAAGAAGGAAGAGAAGACUGGUCGCAGCCUUCUCUCCGGAAAUCACGUGAAACUGGAAUCAGAGGGAUAACGUCUUCAAAAUGCUAAAAAAAACCUGUUAAUCUAGAAUUAAACAUUCAGCCAAAAUAUCCUUCAAAAAUGAGGGCCAAAUAAAGACAUUUCCAAACAAGCAGAAGUUGAAAGAACUUGUCUUUCACAGAACUGCUUCAAAAAGAGUUAAAAGAAGUUGUACAAACUGAAGGAAGAUGAUACCAAGUGAAACCUGGUUCUAGACAAACCAAAAGCACUAGAAAAGUUAGAUAUGGGAAAUCUGGACAUAGAGACACACACAAGAAGAAUGCCACGUGAAGAUGAAGGCGGAGACAGAUCUACAAGCGAGGAAACACCAGAGAUUGUCAGCAGACCCCCAGGAGCACAGAGAGAACGACCCUCAGAAGGAACAUCCUGCCAACACCUUCAUCUCAGAUUUCUAGCCUCCAGACCGGUGAGAGAGUAAGUUUUGUUAUUUAAGCCACUCAGUUUGUGGCACUUUGUUACAGCACCCCUACCAACCAAUACAAUAGCCAAAACAACUUUGAAAAAA